rnacentral:rRNA from 1 species
AUGGGGACUCCAUGCAUCUCCUACGCUCCGCAACCCUUUCCUUCCCGACACAGCAGAAACAAGGAUGCCGAGGCGGUUCAGAUCUUGAAUGCACGAUUGAUGAUUUUGUUUGACAGGAGGCUCACUGAUGGAGUAUGCCUAAUCUCAAUUUAUUGCAUGGUGUUGUCUGUGUGCUGCUGCCGGGGGACUUUGGAUGGUGGUCUUGAUAUUCCGCACAGUGACAAGAGAUUUGCUGGCUUCAAGAAGAAUGAGAAGUGGCUGGACACUGAGAUUCACCGCAACUACAUUUAUGAAGAUCAUGUUGCAGACUGCAUGAAGUCAAUAGCUGAUGAAGAACCUGAGGAGUACCAAUUUCACUUUAGUGAGUACAUCAAGAAGGGGAUUGCGGCUGAUGACAUGGAAGCACUGUACAAGAAGGUUCAUGCUACCAUUCGUGAUGAUCCUACCAUGGCAAAAUAA